rnacentral:lncRNA from 1 species
GGCGGCCGGGCCGGUAACGGAGAAAGUUUCCGCCGACACUGGCCUGUAUUAGCGCGUAUGGCCUCGGGCCCUCGUUCCCCAAGGCGUGCCGCCUCCCUGUUCUCAGUCGCAGGCUGAAGCCUUGUCUGCUCUCCUCCUUUUUGGUUUGGUUUUGGAACUGACUCCGAGGGUUGGGAGAGCGCGUUGGUGGCGACAGCCGAGUCAGAUCACUAUAAACAAAAUUUCCACAAGAGAAAAUGUUGAAAUAGGAGUUGCGGAUACAUUGGAUAUACUGGAUGAAAUACAAGCGGUUAAUUUUUGUAACGUGAGGGAAAAGCCCACAUUGCUGGUUACAUGUGUAAAUCACUGCGUUAUUGCUUUAGUCAUUGUCUCUAUUUAGCAAUGACAAGACUGGAAGAAGUAAAUAGAGAAGUGAACAUGCAUUCUUCAGUGCGUGGACUUUCAGUAACUGAAAGAUGGAAACCCUUUUUGUACCGUGGAAGAAUUUGCAGAAGACUUUCAGUCGUUUUUGCUGGAAUGAUUGAGCUUACAUUUUUUAUUCUUUCAGCAUUCAAACUUAGAGACACUCACCUCUGGUAUUUUGUAAUACCUGGCUUUUCCAUUUUUGGAAUUUUCUGGAUGAUUUGUCAUAUUAUUUUUCUUUUAACUCUUUGGGGAUUCCAUACCAAAUUAAAUGACUGCCAUAAAGUAUAUUUUACUCACAGGACAGAUUACAAUAGCCUUGAUAGAAUCAUGGCAUCCAAAGGGAUGCGCCAUUUUUGCUUGAUUUCAGAGCAGUUGGUGUUCUUUAGUCUUCUUGCAACAGCGAUUUUGGGAGCAGUUUCCUG